CACGGGGGGAGCAAGCGUUGUUCGGAAUCACUGGGCGUAAAGGGCGUGCAGGCGGUCAGGUAAGUGGGAUGUGAAAUGCCCCGGCUCACCCGGGGACCGGCAUCUCAUACUGCUUGGCUUGAGUACGGGAGAGGAUGUGGGAAUUCCUGGUGUAGCGGUGAAAUGCGUAGAUAUCAGGAGGAACACCUAUUGCGAAGGCAGCUCGCUGGGACGUUACUGACGCUGAGACGCGAAAGCGUGGGGAGCAAACAGG
rnacentral:rRNA from 1 species